AUCCCAUGACGAGGACAUUUGAGUAUAUAGUCUUGAGAGCACUCCCAAGCUUCUGGGACUGUCUCAUCAUGUUGUUGCUAAAAGCUUGAUAUCUUCCCAUGAAGAGC
rnacentral:snoRNA from 1 species